AGCGUACACGGUGGAUGCCCUGGCAGUCAGAGGCGAUGAAGGACGUGCUAAUCUGCGAUAAGCGUCGGUGAGGUGAUAUGAACCGUUAUAACCGGCGAUUUCCGAAUGGGGAAACCCAGUGUGUUUCGACACACUAUCAUUAACUGAAUCCAUAGGUUAAUGAGGCGAACCGGGGGAACUGAAACAUCUAAGUACCCCGAGGAAAAGAAAUCAACCGAGAUUCCCCCAGUAGCGGCGAGCGAACGGGGAGGAGCCCAGAGCCUGAAUCAGUGUGUGUGUUAGUGGAAGCGUCUGGAAAGGCGCGCGAUACAGGGUGACAGCCCCGUACACAAAAAUGCACAUAUUGUGAGCUCGAUGAGUAGGGCGGGACACGUGGUAUCCUGUCUGAAUAUGGGGGGACCAUCCUCCAAGGCUAAAUACUCCUGACUGACCGAUAGUGAACCAGUACCGUGAGGGAAAGGCGAAAAGAACCCCGGCGAGGGGAGUGAAAAAGAACCUGAAACCGUGUACGUACAAGCAGUGGGAGCCUCUUAAUGGGGUGACUGCGUACCUUUUGUAUAAUGGGUCAGCGACUUAUAUUCUGUAGCAAGGUUAACCGAAUAGGGGAGCCGAAGGGAAACCGAGUCUUAACUGGGCGUUAAGUUGCAGGGUAUAGACCCGAAACCCGGUGAUCUAGCCAUGGGCAGGUUGAAGGUUGGGUAACACUAACUGGAGGACCGAACCGACUAAUGUUGAAAAAUUAGCGGAUGACUUGUGGCUGGGGGUGAAAGGCCAAUCAAACCGGGAGAUAGCUGGUUCUCCCCGAAAGCUAUUUAGGUAGCGCCUCGUGAAUUCAUCUCCGGGGGUAGAGCACUGUUUCGGCAAGGGGGUCAUCCCGACUUACCAACCCGAUGCAAACUGCGAAUACCGGAGAAUGUUAUCACGGGAGACACACGGCGGGUGCUAACGUCCGUCGUGAAGAGGGAAACAACCCAGACCGCCAGCUAAGGUCCCAAAGUCAUGGUUAAGUGGGAAACGAUGUGGGAAGGCCCAGACAGCCAGGAUGUUGGCUUAGAAGCAGCCAUCAUUUAAAGAAAGCGUAAUAGCUCACUGGUCGAGUCGGCCUGCGCGGAAGAUGUAACGGGGCUAAACCAUGCACCGAAGCUGCGGCAGCGACACUAUGUGUUGUUGGGUAGGGGAGCGUUCUGUAAGCCUGUGAAGGUGUGCUGUGAGGCAUGCUGGAGGUAUCAGAAGUGCGAAUGCUGACAUAAGUAACGAUAAAGCGGGUGAAAAGCCCGCUCGCCGGAAGACCAAGGGUUCCUGUCCAACGUUAAUCGGGGCAGGGUGAGUCGACCCCUAAGGCGAGGCCGAAAGGCGUAGUCGAUGGGAAACAGGUUAAUAUUCCUGUACUUGGUGUUACUGCGAAGGGGGGACGGAGAAGGCUAUGUUGGCCGGGCGACGGUUGUCCCGGUUUAAGCGUGUAGGCUGGUUUUCCAGGCAAAUCCGGAAAACCAAGGCUGAGGCGUGAUGACGAAGCACUACGGUGCUGAAGCGACAAAUGCCCUGCUUCCAGGAAAAGCCUCUAAGCAUCAGGUAACAUCAAAUCGUACCCCAAACCGACACAGGUGGUCAGGUAGAGAAUACCAAGGCGCUUGAGAGAACUCGGGUGAAGGAACUAGGCAAAAUGGUGCCGUAACUUCGGGAGAAGGCACGCUGAUAUGUAGGUGAAGCGACUUGCUCGUGGAGCUGAAAUCAGUCGAAGAUACCAGCUGGCUGCAACUGUUUAUUAAAAACACAGCACUGUGCAAACACGAAAGUGGACGUAUACGGUGUGACGCCUGCCCGGUGCCGGAAGGUUAAUUGAUGGGGUUAGCGGUAACGCGAAGCUCUUGAUCGAAGCCCCGGUAAACGGCGGCCGUAACUAUAACGGUCCUAAGGUAGCGAAAUUCCUUGUCGGGUAAGUUCCGACCUGCACGAAUGGCGUAAUGAUGGCCAGGCUGUCUCCACCCGAGACUCAGUGAAAUUGAACUCGCUGUGAAGAUGCAGUGUACCCGCGGCAAGACGGAAAGACCCCGUGAACCUUUACUAUAGCUUGACACUGAACAUUGAGCCUUGAUGUGUAGGAUAGGUGGGAGGCUUUGAAGUGUGGACGCCAGUCUGCAUGGAGCCGACCUUGAAAUACCACCCUUUAAUGUUUGAUGUUCUAACGUUGGCCCGUAAUCCGGGUUGCGGACAGUGUCUGGUGGGUAGUUUGACUGGGGCGGUCUCCUCCUAAAGAGUAACGGAGGAGCACGAAGGUUGGCUAAUCCUGGUCGGACAUCAGGAGGUUAGUGCAAUGGCAUAAGCCAGCUUGACUGCGAGCGUGACGGCGCGAGCAGGUGCGAAAGCAGGUCAUAGUGAUCCGGUGGUUCUGAAUGGAAGGGCCAUCGCUCAACGGAUAAAAGGUACUCCGGGGAUAACAGGCUGAUACCGCCCAAGAGUUCAUAUCGACGGCGGUGUUUGGCACCUCGAUGUCGGCUCAUCACAUCCUGGGGCUGAAGUAGGUCCCAAGGGUAUGGCUGUUCGCCAUUUAAAGUGGUACGCGAGCUGGGUUUAGAACGUCGUGAGACAGUUCGGUCCCUAUCUGCCGUGGGCGCUGGAGAACUGAGGGGGGCUGCUCCUAGUACGAGAGGACCGGAGUGGACGCAUCACUGGUGUUCGGGUUGUCAUGCCAAUGGCACUGCCCGGUAGCUAAAUGCGGAAGAGAUAAGUGCUGAAAGCAUCUAAGCACGAAACUUGCCCCGAGAUGAGUUCU
rnacentral:rRNA from 1 species